AGCAAGCUUGACAAGAUAACCAAUCUCAGCGUGUGGAGUGUGAGGUCGCAAUAAGCCUGCAGGCUUGGAGCAGUGUGGAUGCUUUGUGUAGCUUCUCCUACGCACUCUAUAGCUUAUCCAUCCUCACAGAGAUCACAAGAACCCUAAAUAGCAAAUAUGGCAUCUGAACUAGAACACCACCUGUUUUGUGUAAAAGGAGAUGGGCUUCUGCCACUGGCUGCUUCUCUUUCAUCUCCACAUUUUUGGUGGAGAAGAGAGCAAGUUUUGCGUCCAUCACUGUUGUCUGGCUGACAGAAUUCAUGUAAAAUUGCUAGCUUGUCUAUCUCUCAUUAUCUAGGUUUAGACCUAGGCCCACAGCUCCUACCCUACCCACAAAACAGCAGCUUACAUAUAUCUUUAACAUAUGUUGCUUUGGACAUUUUAUAGAUAGAUGCUUACAAGUACUUGGGAUCAUAGGUAAGAAAAAUCAUUGUUCGACAAGCCUCUUUGUUCUGCAUGUCAGAAUAUUUUUUUGUUGACUUUUGUGGGUGAAAAGAAUUUCUCUCUCCCUCUCUGUAUGUCUGCCUUUGUCUGUCUUUUUCUCUCACCCUCUCUGUCUGUCUCUCUGUCUGUGUUUCUGCUUGUCUCUCUGUCUGUGUCUCUCUCUCUCUCCAACCCCCUUCCCUCUCGUAUCAGAUUACUUAGAAACACGCAGGUUUGACACAUGCUUUUACCUGAAACCCUGUCUACUCCUGCUGCUUUAUUGGACCCCUAAUUACUUGUAAAAAAAUAAUAAAUUGGGCAGGUGUUUGCUCUUCCAGUUGAUUAAUUGACAAUGAUUUCGUCACAAUUGACAGCAGAAAGCUAGGAAGCUGCAGGUUGGGGUUCACCAGCUUGUGAGGAGAAUUUACAAAAGGCUGGAAUUGCCAACAGGCUGUGUUUCUCAUUCCAGGAUAAGCGAUUUUUUUCUGUCCCAGUGUUAAGCACUGUCACAUCGGUAAUUCUUUAUUUUAUACUUGUGAAACUCUGAAGCAGAUAAAAUACGUUUAGAAAUGUGUUACUAUUUAUUAUUAUUAAUUAUUAUUAUUAUUAUUAUUAUUAUUAUUAUUAUUAUUUACUGUAAGUGAAAAAGAUCACCCAAAUUAGUCCCUGUUAACUAAAAGGCCUGUACUACACAGAAACCAUGGUGGCUAAGGUUUGCUUGACUGGGUCUUUUUACCAUGUCUGAGAUAUAUGACUUCUCCAUUCAGCUGGAUCAGCAUUGGUAGCAGCCAGCAAAAGGUGGCCCCUAAGAACUGAGUAUACCUCCCAGAAUACUAGCCUAGCAAAGUUGGGGCCAUUUGGUAGUAAUAGUUUUUAAAGUUUG
rnacentral:lncRNA from 1 species